GAUCAGAGCAAAACCCAGGCGCGUCUUGUCUGGACAUCAGCAGUUGUCAUGACAACGAUGGUGAAUACUGGUUAGCUUCCGAACAGACAUCCUGGGUUACCAUGAAAGUAUUCUGUUACAUAAAGCAAGACCCAAGUACCAUUAAUCUAGCUCGAAACAAGCCUGCCAUUCAAACAAACACAGCAUAUGGAGCUGUUGCAAAAAGAGCUGUUGAUGGCAGGAGAAGUUCAAAUUGGAGACAAGGUUCAUGUACUCAUACAUAUGGAACAAACUCCCCAUGGUGGAGAGUGGAUCUACAACAUGUUUUUUUCAUUCGAAAACUGAUCAUCACCAAUCGUUCAGACUGUUGCUCUGAAAGACUUUCAAAUUUUCAGAUCAGGAUUGGUGCAACCCUUAAUAACGCAAAUGGUAAUUCCAAUCCUUUAUGUGGCGGAUAUCAUUCACUGAAGGCUGAAACCAAGAGUAUUGUGUGUCCCAAUCCAAUGAUUGGAAGAUAUGUGAAUAUUAUUAUUCCUGGAUCAGGGCAGGUUCUAACAUUAUGUGAAGUAGAAGUCUACCCGUGAAGUUUCUUAAUGCAAUGUUCUUUGUGAUAUCACUGGCAUGCAAAACUAAAAUGAUAACAUUCAGCAGCUCACUUUUGUUUGAAGUUUCUGCCGAACAAUAAUAACUGGCUCAUUACACCUGUCUACGUUAUUUUGUCUAAAAAUUAAGAAUAACGGCAUGCGUAUAUUAAGUAUAUAGCUAAGACAUUCUGUUUAUAUCCCACUUAUAUUAUUUCUUUUGUCCACGUUUCUUAGUGAAAGCUAGGAAACAUACCGUUAUUUGACAAUAAGGCCUAUUCUUAUGAACCUUUCUCUUAUUGCUAUAUUAUGUGUUGUUAUUAUUAUAACUCCACCUGUAAUU